UAGAUCUUGAACACCAUUUCAACCUCCUUCUUCUUCUCUUCUUCUUCUCUUCUUCUUCCACUUCUUAUUUUUAGAUUAGAUCUUUCAUUCCUCAGAAUACCCCAAUUAGAGAUCUGUCUUCUCAGGGUUUUCCUGAAUGAUCAAUUGAAGAAUUUUGGCUUGGCUGUUAAGUUCUUACUGCUUGUUUGCGAGAGAGUGGGCUACUUAAUAAUAGUAAAGACAUGCAUGACCUUGUGAUAAAGUACUGGUGUGCCUAUACUAAAUGAAGACUCAAGCGUGGCGUCUGGGCAUGGGUGAUGUGCAGACCUUGCCAGGGUCUCGCCACCGCCCUCCUUUGAAAAGGCCAAUAUGGAUUAUUGUCUUGGUUUCGAUGGUCAGCCUAUUUCUAGUUUGUGCUUAUGUCUAUCCACCCCAAAGCAGUGCUGCUUGUUAUGUGUUUUCUUCCAGAGGUUGCAAGGCUUUUACUGAUUGGCUUCCACCUGCUCCUGCAAGGGAAUAUACUGAUGAAGAAAUUGCGUCUCAGAUUGUGAUUAGGGAAAUUUUGAGUACGCCUCCUAUUCAAACAAAAAAUGCUAAAAU
rnacentral:misc_RNA from 1 species